rnacentral:rRNA from 1 species
AGAGUCUUAGGGACUCGGCGUACCGCUCAGUAACACGUGGGUAACCUGCCCUAUGCUGGGGAAUAACCUCGGGAAACUGAGAAUAAUGCCCCAUAGUCCACCAUGCCUGGAACGGUUGGUGGAUUAAAGCUCCGGCGGCAUAGGAUGGGCCUGCGGCGUAUCAGGUCGUAGGGGGUGUAACGUACCCUCUAGCCAUCGACGCGUACGGGUGUUGGGAGACAUAGCCCGGAGAUGGAUUCUGAGACACGAAUCCAGACCCUACGGGGUGCAGCAGGCGCGAAAACUUGGCAAUGCGAGAAAUCGUGACCAGGGAACUCCAAGUGGCUGGGGUAAGACCCAGUCUUUUCUUGACUCUUCAACGGUCUUGGAAUAAGGGGUGGGUAAGGACGGUGCCAGCCGCCGCGGUAAUACCGGCGCCUCGAGUGGUAGUCGAUUUUAUUGGGCCUAAAACGUCCGUCGCCGGUCUGGUGCAUUCGUGGGUAAAUCAACCCGCUCAACGGGUUGAAUUCUGCGAGCACGGCCAGACUAGGGACCGGGAGAGGUGUGGGGUACGCUCGGGGUAGGGGUAAAAUCCUGUCAUCCCGAGCGGACCACCUGUUGCGAAGGCUCCACACUAGAACGGAUCCGACGGUCAGGGACGAAGCCUAGGGGCACGAACCGGAUUAGAUACCCGGGUAGUCCUAGGUGUAAA